CAUUCGCUGCCUUUGUACAGAGUGCUGCAGCUGACAAAGCUGAUCAUCCUCUGCUGGUGAGCGAGCUGACGGGAGACGACUUCCACCCAGUGACGCCGGAGGAGAUGACGGCGCUGGGCUUCGCGGACGCCGCCAGACUCCGCAUAUGCAUCGCCAGCCAGUGCAACUCCAUCUGCCGCAGUCUCGGCUACGCUAUCGGCCUCUGCAGCACCAACGCCUACUGCGUCUGCUUCCGUUGAUCUAUGUUUAGAUAUUUACUAUAAUAUUUAUAUUUAUGUUUCUUUAAAUAAAGGUGUCGUUACUAAA